rnacentral:rRNA from 1 species
GACGUAGGGCGCGAGCGUUGUCCGGAUUUAUUGGGCGUAAAGAGCUCGUAGGCGGCUUGUCGCGUCGUCCGUGAAAACCCACAGCUCAACUGUGGGCUUGCGGUCGAUACGGGCAGGCUAGAGUUCGGUAGGGGAGACUGGAAUUCCUGGUGUAGCGGUGAAAUGCGCAGAUAUCAGGAGGAACACCGGUGGCGAAGGCAGCUCGCUGGGACGGUACUGACGCUGAGGCGCGAAAGCGUGGGGAGCAAACAGG